rnacentral:rRNA from 1 species
GCUGCUUUGCUGACGAGUGGCGGACGGGUGAGUAAUGUCUGGGAAACUGCCUGAUGGAGGGGGAUAACUACUGGAAACGGUGGCUAAUACCGCAUAACGUCGCAAGACCAAAGAGGGGGACCUUCGGGCCUCUUGCCAUCAGAUGUGCCCAGAUGGGAUUAGCUUGUUGGUGAGGUAACGGCUCACCAAGGCGACGAUCCCUAGCUGGUCUGAGAGGAUGACCAGCCACACUGGAACUGAGACACGGUCCAGACUCCUACGGGAGGCAGCAGUGGGGAAUAUUGCACAAUGGGCGCAAGCCUGAUGCAGCCAUGCCGCGUGUAUGAAGAAGGCCUUCGGGUUGUAAAGUACUUUCAGCGGGGAGGAAGGUGUUGUGGUUAAUAACCGCAGCAAUUGACGUUACCCGCAGAAGAAGCACCGGCUAACUCCGUGCCAGCAGCCGCGGUAAUACGGAGGGUGCAAGCGUUAAUCGGAAUUACUGGGCGUAAAGCGCACGCAGGCGGUCUGUCAAGUCGGAUGUGAAAUCCCCGGGCUCAACCUGGGAACUGCAUUCGAAACUGGCAGGCUUGAGUCUUGUAGAGGGGGGUAGAAUUCCAGGUGUAGCGGUGAAAUGCGUAGAGAUCUGGAGGAAUACCGGUGGCGAAGGCGGCCCCCUGGACAAAGACUGACGCUCAGGUGCGAAAGCGUGGGGAGCAAACAGGAUUAGAUACCCUGGUAGUCCACGCCGUAAACGAUGUCUACUUGGAGGUUGUGCCCUUGAGGCGUGGCUUCCGGAGCUAACGCGUUAAGUAGACCGCCUGGGGAGUACGGCCGCAAGGUUAAAACUCAAAUGAAUUGACGGGGGCCCGCACAAGCGGUGGAGCAUGUGGUUUAAUUCGAUGCAACGCGAAGAACCUUACCUGGUCUUGACAUCCACAGAAGAAUCCAGAGAUGGAUUUGUGCCUUCGGGAACUGUGAGACAGGUGCUGCAUGGCUGUCGUCAGCUCGUGUUGUGAAAUGUUGGGUUAAGUCCCGCAACGAGCGCAACCCUUAUCCUUUGUUGCCAGCGGUUAGGCCGGGAACUCAAAGGAGACUGCCAGUGAUAAACUGGAGGAAGGUGGGGAUGACGUCAAGUCAUCAUGGCCCUUACGACCAGGGCUACACACGUGCUACAAUGGCGCAUACAAAGAGAAGCGACCUCGCGAGAGCAAGCGGACCUCAUAAAGUGCGUCGUAGUCCGGAUUGGAGUCUGCAACUCGACUCCAUGAAGUCGGAAUCGCUAGUAAUCGUGGAUCAGAAUGCCACGGUGAAUACGUUCCCGGGCCUUGUACACACCGCCCGUCACACCAUGGGAGUGGGUUGCAAAAGAAGUAGGUAGCUUAACCUUCGGGAGGGCGCUUACCACUUUGUGAUUCAUGACUGGGGUGAAGUCGUAACAAGGUAACCGUAGGGGAACCUGCGGUUGGAUCACCUCCUUACCUUAAAGAA